UCAUCACAUCAAUUUUGAAAAGCUUCUAAAAUCUCUCUCUACCUCCACAAAGUUCUGCCAAUAUCUAUCUUCUCUAUCCAUCCGUUCUUCGUCUUCCUCAGUUCUUCGUCUUCCUCUCUCUUCCUCAUUCUUCUUCUUCUUCUCCUUCUUCUUCUUCAAUGAUGUCGACUUCAAUGAUGUGUUUUCUCAUGUUGUGAAGCAUAGGUCCAUUCAAAAGUUGCUUGCCAUGGUGACACAGUUCGAUCUUGAAUUGGAACAGAUGGAUGUGAAGAUUGCGUUCUUGAAUAUUCAGAACCUUCCAAUAAUCUUCCAAUGAUGGAGAAUAGGUUUAGAAAAAGGGGGUUCAGAAUCAAGAAUAGGCUGUUUGCUUUUAGACUUGGGUGAAGAUGGAGAUGGAGGAUUAGAAAUAUUUGUGGUUGGAUGAGGAAUGGCUUUUUCUGGUGAAAUUUUAGGUGGAGCUUCUGUUGAUACAUUAUUUGAAAUUAAAACAGGAGCAGAACCUGGUUCAGAAAUUACAAUACCUGAAGAUCCUUUCUUCUUCUGAGGCCUAGCAGAACAACAAAGAAGGAAGAAAGAAUAACGGUAACAGAAACAUGAAAAACGAGAAACAAACCAAAUGGAAGAUAGGGGUUGCGACUAAUUUGUGGAGAAAAUAUGGUACUGUUAGAGCAACUGAUACGUGGGUUAUAUUUAUCGGUGAUGAGUAUACUAAGGAGUUUACUGCUAGAAAGAAAGAAGAAUCAUGGUAAUAGAAGCUACUGAUCUAUAAGUUUUCCAUGUAUCUGAUGAUAUAAUAUUUUAUGCGAGUUUUCUCAUUGUUAUUUACCUGUUAUAUCAUUACAUUUCUGGAAUUAGUUAUGACUUAAGAAUUGUGUUCACUUUUCAAAUUCAGCAUGACUUUGUUUUCAUAUGUCAUGCAUUCUCAUCGAACCAGAAUUUAUCCUUGAUAUAUAUAACUUUUACUUAGUAUUUCAAUACAUAUUAAUUGUAAAUCUUUUAAACACUAUUCGUUCUGUUUUCUAUAUUCUUCAUGAAGCAAACUCUCAUUAAGUUGUCUACUAUUAUAGCGAACUUUCCGAUAUUCAUGAAGCUGAAUCGUAAUGAUGAUGCCGCUGGGAUAAAUCUAUCGUGAUGAUAGUUUCCGUAGGAACUUUCCGAUAUUUCAAAUUUCUUCUUCUUUUUCUUUUGUUAUCUGUCCUUAAACAUUUUUUUGC